UACGAACAUAUCAUGUUGAAGCACCGGUUCUUGCAGGAUCACCGUAAUUAAGCAACGUCCUGCUUGCUCAGUACUUAGAAGGGUGACCGCUUGGGAAUACCAGGUGCUGUAAG